rnacentral:rRNA from 1 species
UAGCUACAGGCUUAACACAUGCAAGUCGAGGGGCAGCAUGGUCUUAGCUUGCUAAGGCCGAUGGCGACCGGCGCACGGGUGAGUAACACGUAUCCAACCUGCCGUCUACUCUUGGACAGCCUUCUGAAAGGAAGAUUAAUACAAGAUGGCAUCAUGAGUCCACAUGUUCACAUGAUUAAAGGUAUUCCGGUAGACGAUGGGGAUGCGUUCCAUUAGAUAGUAGGCGGGGUAACGGCCCACCUAGUCUUCGAUGGAUAGGGGUUCUGAGAGGAAGGUCCCCCACAUUGGAACUGAGACACGGUCCAAACUCCUACGGGAGGCAGCAGUGAGGAAUAUUGGUCAAUGGGCGAGAGCCUGAACCAGCCAAGUAGCGUGAAGGAUGACUGCCCUAUGGGUUGUAAACUUCUUUUAUAAAGGAAUAAAGUCGGGUAUGCAUACCCGUUUGCAUGUACUUUAUGAAUAAGGAUCGGCUAACUCCGUGCCAGCAGCCGCGGUAAUACGGAGGAUCCGAGCGUUAUCCGGAUUUAUUGGGUUUAAAGGGAGCGUAGAUGGAUGUUUAAGUCAGUUGUGAAAGUUUGCGGCUCAACCGUAAAAUUGCAGUUGAUACUGGAUAUCUUGAGUGCAGUUGAGGCAGGCGGAAUUCGUGGUGUAGCGGUGAAAUGCUUAGAUAUCACGAAGAACUCCGAUUGCGAAGGCAGCCUGCUAAGCUGCAACUGACAUUGAGGCUCGAAAGUGUGGGUAUCAAACAGGAUUAGAUACCCUGGUAGUCCACACGGUAAACGAUGAAUACUCGCUGUUUGCGAUAUACGGCAAGCGGCCAAGCGAAAGCGUUAAGUAUUCCACCUGGGGAGUACGCCGGCAACGGUGAAACUCAAAGGAAUUGACGGGGGCCCGCACAAGCGGAGGAACAUGUGGUUUAAUUCGAUGAUACGCGAGGAACCUUACCCGGGCUUAAAUUGCAGAUGAAUUACGGUGAAAGCCGUAAGCCGCAAGGCAUCUGUGAAGGUGCUGCAUGGUUGUCGUCAGCUCGUGCCGUGAGGUGUCGGCUUAAGUGCCAUAACGAGCGCAACCCUUGUUGUCAGUUACUAACAGGUUCCGCUGAGGACUCUGACAAGACUGCCAUCGUAAGAUGUGAGAAAGGUGGGGAUGACGUCAAAUCAGCACGGCCCUUACGUCCGGGGCUACACACGUGUUACAAUGGGGGGUACAGAGGGCCGCUACCACGCGAGUGGAUGCCAAUCCCCAAAACCUCUCUCAGUUCGGACUGGAGUCUGCAACCCGACUCCACGAAGCUGGAUUCGCUAGUAAUCGCGCAUCAGCCACGGCGCGGUGAAUACGUUCCCGGGCCUUGUACACACCGCCCGUCAAGCCAUGGGAGCCGGGGGUACCUGAAGUGCGUAACCGCGAGGAGCGCCCUAGGGUAAAACUGGUGACUGGGGCUAAGUCGU